UACGUAGGGCGCAAGCGUUAUCCGGAAUUAUUGGGCGUAAAGAGCUCGUAGGCGGUUUGUCGCGUCUGCCGUGAAAGUCCGGGGCUCAACUCCGGAUCUGCGGUGGGUACGGGCAGACUAGAGUGAUGUAGGGGAGACUGGAAUUCCUGGUGUAGCGGCGAAAUGCGCAGAUAUCAGGAGGAACACCGAUGGCGAAGGCAGGUCUCUGGGCAUUAACUGACGCUGAGGGGCGAAAGCAUGGGGAGCGAACAGG
rnacentral:rRNA from 1 species